UACGUAGGGGGCCAGCGUUGCUCGGAAUUACUGGGCGUAAAGGGUUCGUAGGUGGUGCGGCAAGUUGGGAGUGAAAUCCUGGGGCUCAACCCUGGAACUGCAUUGAAUACUGCUCGGCUAGAGUACUGGAGAGGAAACUGGAAUUCACGGUGUAGCAGUGAAAUGCGUAGAUAUCGUGAGGAAGACCAGUGGCGAAGGCGAGUUUCUGGACAGUUACUGACGCUGAGGCACGAAGGCCAGGGGAGCAAACGGG
rnacentral:rRNA from 1 species